CUCUUUAAACAGUUUAUUUCUGAGAAGAACCUUCAAAUGCGAGCACAAGAUAAUUUUUCCCCCCCAAAUCCUAGGCAUUUUAGUUCAUUUAAAAUGGGUUUAUGUAAUACCUGCAAAUGGAACACAAACAUACCAUUUUUUUCUUUCUUCUCUCAGCCACAUGAAGAAUUUAGUUUUUGAACAUGGUAAAAUAUUCUUCAGCUAUUAAUUUCCUGUACAUACCUCAUAGUCCCUGUUUAUAUUUUGGGUAUUUUUUUUUUUUUAGAGACAUUGCACUCCACAUAGACUCGCUCUGUACCUAGUCUGGAAUGCAGUGGUGUGAUCACGGCUCAGUGCAGCCUCAAACUCCUGGGCUCAAGCAAUCCUACUGCCUCAGCCUCCUGAGUAGCUGGAACCACAGGCAUAUGCCACCAUGCCCAGGUAAUUUUUUUUUUUUUUAAGAGAUAGGGUCUCCCUAUAUAUUCCCUGGGCUGGUUGGUCUCCAACUCCUGACCUUCAACAGUUCUCUUGCCUUGGCCUCCCAAAGUGCUGAGAUUACAGAUCACUUUGGGAGGCCGAGGUGGGCGGAUCACCUGAGGUCAGGAGUUCGAGACCAGCCUGAUCAAUAUGGUGAAACCUCGUCUCUACUAAAAAUACAAAAAUUAGCCGGGCAUGAUGGCACGCACCUGUAAUCUCAGUUACUCAGGCUGAGACAGGAGAAUUGCUUGAACCCCGGCGGCGGAAGUUGCAGUGAGUCGAGAUCUCACCAUUGCACUCCAGCAUGGAUGACAGAG
rnacentral:lncRNA from 10 species